UGGGGAAUUUUGGACAAUGGGCGCAAGCCUGAUCCAGCCAUGCCGCGUGCAGGAUGAAGGCCCUCGGGUUGUAAACUGCUUUUGUACGGAACGAAAAGCCUCUUUCUAAUAAAGAGGGGUGAUGACGGUACCGUAAGAAUAAGCACCGGCUAACUACGUGCCAGCAGCCGCGGUAAUACGUAGGGUGCGAGCGUUAAUCGGAAUUACUGGGCGUAAAGCGUGCGCAGGCGGUCUUGCAAGACAGUGGUGAAAUCCCCGGGCUCAACCUGGGAACUGCCAUUGUGACUGCAAGGCUGGAGUACGGCAGAGGGGGAUGGAAUUCCGCGUGUAGCAGUGAAAUGCGUAGAUAGGCGGAGGAACACCGAUGGCGAAGGCAGUCCCCUGGGCCUGUACUGACGCUCAUGCACGAACGCGUGGGGAGCAAACA
rnacentral:rRNA from 1 species